CUCAGGAUGAACGCUGGCGGCGUGCCUAAUACAUGCAAGUCGAGCGAACAGAUAAGGAGCUUGCUCCUUUGAYGUUAGCGGCGGACGGGUGAGUAACACGUGGGUAACCUACCUAUAAGACUGGAAUAACUCCGGGAAACCGGGGCUAAUGCCGGAUAACAUUUAGAACCGCAUGGUUCUAAAGUGAAAGAUGGUUUUGCUAUCACUUAUAGAUGGACCCGCGCCGUAUUAGCUAGUUGGUAAGGUAAUGGCUUACCAAGGCAACGAUACGUAGCCGACCUGAGAGGGUGAUCGGCCACACUGGAACUGAGACACGGUCCAGACUCCUACGGGAGGCAGCAGUAGGGAAUCUUCCGCAAUGGGCGAAAGCCUGACGGAGCAACGCCGCGUGAGUGAUGAAGGGUUUCGGCUCGUAAAACUCUGUUAUUAGGGAAGAACAAACGUGUAAGUAACUGUGCACGUCUUGACGGUACCUAAUCAGAAAGCCACGGCUAACUACGUGCCAGCAGCCGCGGUAAUACGUAGGUGGCAAGCGUUAUCCGGAAUUAUUGGGCGUAAAGCGCGCGUAGGCGGUUUCUUAAGUCUGAUGUGAAAGCCCACGGCUCAACCGUGGAGGGUCAUUGGAAACUGGGAGACUUGAGUGCAGAAGAGGAAAGUGGAAUUCCAUGUGUAGCGGUGAAAUGCGCAGAGAUAUGGAGGAACACCAGUGGCGAAGGCGACUUUCUGGUCUGUAACUGACGCUGAUGUGCGAAAGCGUGGGGAUCAAACAGG
rnacentral:rRNA from 1 species